AGAGUUUGAUCAUGGCUCAGAACGUACGCUGGCGGCACGCCUAACACAUGCAAGUCGAACGAAGUAGCAAUACUUAGUGGCAGACGGGUGAGUAACAUGUGGGUAUCUACCCUUUGGCCUGGAAUAACACGAGGAAACUUGUGCUAAUACCGGAUAAGUCUUUACGGAGAAAGCUUUAUGCACCAUUGGAUGAGCCCGCACUUGAUUAGUUUGUUGGUAGGGUAAUGGCCUACCAAGACUAUGAUCAAUAGCUGAUUUGAGAGGAUGAUCAGCCACAUUGGGACUGAGACACGGCCCAAACUCCUACGGGAGGCAGCAGUGGGGAAUCUUGCACAAUGGAGGAAACUCUGAUGCAGCGAUGCCGCGUGAGUGAAGAAGGCCUUUGGGUUGUAAAGCUCUUUCGUCGGGGAAGAAAAUGACUGUACCCGAAUAAGAAGGUCCGGCUAACUUCGUGCCAGCAGCCGCGGUAAUACGAAGGGACCUAGCGUAGUUCGGAAUUACUGGGCUUAAAGAGUUCGUAGGUGGUUGAAAAAGUUGGUGGUGAAAUCCCAGAGCUUAACUCUGGAACUGCCAUCAAAACUUUUCAGCUAGAGUAUGAUAGAGGAAAGCAGAAUUUCUAGUGUAGAGGUGAAAUUCGUAGAUAUUAGAAAGAAUACCAAUUGCGAAGGCAGCUUUCUGGAUCAUUACUGACACUGAGGAACGAAAGCAUGGGUAGCGAAGAGGAUUAGAUACCCUCGUAGUCCAUGCCGUAAACGAUGUGUGUUAGACGUUGGAAAUUUAUUUUCAGUGUCGCAGGGAAACCGAUAAACACACCGCCUGGGGAGUACGACCGCAAGGUUAAAACUCAAAUGAAUUGACGGGGACCCGCACAAGUAGUGGAGCAUGUGGUUUAAUUCGAAGAUACGCGCAGAACCUUACCAACACUUGACAUGUUCGUCGCGACUCUAAGAGAUUAGAGUUUUCGGUUCGGCCGGACGAAACACAGGUGCUGCAUGGCUGUCGUCAGCUCGUGUCGUGAGAUGUUGGGUUAAGUCCCGCAACGAGCGCAACCCUCACUUUUAGUUGCCAUCAUUAAG
rnacentral:rRNA from 1 species